rnacentral:rRNA from 1 species
UCAGGAUGAACGCUGGCGGCGUGCUUAACACAUGCAAGUCGAACGGGAUCCAUCAGGCUUUGCUUGGUGGUGAGAGUGGCGAACGGGUGAGUAAUGCGUGACCGACCUGCCCCAUACACCGGAAUAGCUCCUGGAAACGGGUGGUAAUGCCGGAUGCUCCGACUCCUCGCAUGGGGUGUCGGGAAAGAUUUCAUCGGUAUGGGAUGGGGUCGCGUCCUAUCAGGUAGUCGGCGGGGUAACGGCCCACCGAGCCUACGACGGGUAGCCGGCCUGAGAGGGCGACCGGCCACAUUGGGACUGAGAUACGGCCCAGACUCCUACGGGAGGCAGCAGUGGGGAAUAUUGCACAAUGGGCGCAAGCCUGAUGCAGCGACGCCGCGUGCGGGAUGACGGCCUUCGGGUUGUAAACCGCUUUUGAUCGGGAGCAAGCCUUCGGGUGAGUGUACCUUUCGAAUAAGCACCGGCUAACUACGUGCCAGCAGCCGCGGUAAUACGUAGGGUGCAAGCGUUAUCCGGAAUUAUUGGGCGUAAAGGGCUCGUAGGCGGUUCGUCGCGUCCGGUGUGAAAGUCCAUCGCUUAACGGUGGAUCUGCGCCGGGUACGGGCGGGCUGGAGUGCGGUAGGGGAGACUGGAAUUCCCGGUGUAACGGUGGAAUGUGUAGAUAUCGGGAAGAACACCAAUGGCGAAGGCAGGUCUCUGGGCCGUUACUGACGCUGAGGAGCGAAAGCGUGGGGAGCGAACAGGAUUAGAUACCCUGGUAGUCCACGCCGUAAACGGUGGAUGCUGGAUGUGGGGCCCGUUCCACGGGUUCCGUGUCGGAGCUAACGCGUUAAGCAUCCCGCCUGGGGAGUACGGCCGCAAGGCUAAAACUCAAAGAAAUUGACGGGGGCCCGCACAAGCGGCGGAGCAUGCGGAUUAAUUCGAUGCAACGCGAAGAACCUUACCUGGGCUUGACAUGUUCCCGACCGCUCCAGAGAUGGGGCUUCCCUUCGGGGCGGGUUCACAGGUGGUGCAUGGUCGUCGUCAGCUCGUGUCGUGAGAUGUUGGGUUAAGUCCCGCAACGAGCGCAACCCUCGCCCUGUGUUGCCAGCACGUCAUGGUGGGAACUCACGGGGGACCGCCGGGGUCAACUCGGAGGAAGGUGGGGAUGACGUCAGAUCAUCAUGCCCCUUACGUCCAGGGCUUCACGCAUGCUACAAUGGCCGGUACAACGGGAUGCGACACGGCGACGUGGAGCGGAUCCCUGAAAACCGGUCUCAGUUCGGAUUGGAGUCUGCAACCCGACUCCAUGAAGGCGGAGUCGCUAGUAAUCGCGGAUCAGCAACGCCGCGGUGAAUGCGUUCCCGGGCCUUGUACACACCGCCCGUCAAGUCAUGAAAGUGGG